rnacentral:misc_RNA from 1 species
GAUGAAGAACGUAGCAAAAUGCGAUACUUGGUGUGAAUUGCAGAAUCCCGUGAACCACCGAGUUUUUGAACGCAAGUUGCGCCCGAAGCCUUUUGGCCGAGGGCACGUCUGCCUGGGCGUCACACAUCGCGUCGCCCCCCACAACUCUCCGUAAAGGGAACUUGUGUUUUGGGGGCGGAUAUUGGUCUCCCGUGCUCAUGGCGUGGUUGGCCGAAAUAGGAGUCCCUCCGGUGGACGCACGAACUAGUGGUGGUCGUAAAAACCCUCGUCUUUUGUUUCGUGCCGUUAGUCGCGAGGGAAACUCUUUAAAAACCCAAAUGUGUCGUCUCUUGACGGCGCUUCGACCGCGACCCCAGGUCAGGCGGGACUACCCGCUGAGUUUAAGCAUAUCAAUAAGCGGAGGA